rnacentral:rRNA from 1 species
UACAGAGGUCUCAAGCGUUGUUCGGAUUCAUUGGGCGUAAAGGGUGCGUAGGCGGCGCGGUAAGUCGGGUGUGAAAUCUUGGAGCUUAACUCCGAAACUGCAUUCGAUACUGCCGUGCUUGAGGACUGGAGAGGAGACUGGAAUUUACGGUGUAGCGGUGAGAUGCGUAGAUAUCGUAAGGAAGACCAGUGGCGAAGGCGGGUCUCUGGACAGUUCCUGACGCUGAGGCACGAAGGUCAGGGGAGCAAACGGG